rnacentral:tRNA from 1 species
CCGCCCAUAGCUCAGCUGGUAGAGCAAUUCCCUUUUAAGGAAGAGGUCCUCGGUUCGAUCCCGAGUGGGCGGACCA